rnacentral:rRNA from 1 species
GACGUAGGGCGCGAGCGUUGUCCGGAUUCAUUGGGCGUAAAGGGUGCGUAGGCGGCGCGGUAAGUCGGGUGUGAAAUCUUCGAGCUUAACUCGGAAACUGCAUUGGAUACUAUUCGGCUAGAGAGUUGGAGGGGGGAUUGGAAUACUUGGUGUAGCAGUGAAAUGCGUAGAUAUCAAGUGGAACACCAGUGGCGAAGGCGAAUCCCUGGACAACUUCUGACGCUGAGGCACGAAAGCUAGGGGAGCAAACAGG